AUUGAACGCUGGCGGCAUGCCUUACGCAUGCAAGUCGAACGGCAGCGCGGGAGCAAUCCUGGCGGCGAGUGGCGAACGGGUGAGUAAUACAUCGGAACGUGCCCAAUCGUGGGGGAUAACGCAGCGAAAGCUGUGCUAAUACCGCAUACGAUCUACGGAUGAAAGCAGGGGAUCGCAAGACCUUGCGCGAAUGGAGCGGCCGAUGGCAGAUUAGGUAGUUGGUGAGGUAAAGGCUCACCAAGCCUUCGAUCUGUAGCUGGUCUGAGAGGACGACCAGCCACACUGGGACUGAGACACGGCCCAGACUCCUACGGGAGGCAGCAGUGGGGAAUUUUGGACAAUGGGCGAAAGCCUGAUCCAGCCAUGCCGCGUGCAGGAUGAAGGCCUUCGGGUUGUAAACUGCUUUUGUACGGAACGAAACGGUCUUUUCUAAUAAAGAAGGCUAAUGACGGUACCGUAAGAAUAAGCACCGGCUAACUACGUG
rnacentral:rRNA from 1 species